rnacentral:ncRNA from 1 species
GGGAGCCGGAUGAGUCGAGAGGUUCACGUCCGGUUCUGCGAGGGGCUGCGGGUGAAACUCCCGUGGUCUACUUACC